rnacentral:rRNA from 1 species
GUGAGUAACACGUGAGCAACCUGCCCUGGACUCUGGGAUAAGCGCUGGAAACGGCGUCUAAUACUGGAUAUGAGACGUGAUCGCAUGGUCGUGUUUGGAAAGAUUUUUCGGUCUGGGAUGGGCUCGCGGCCUAUCAGCUUGUUGGUGAGGUAAUGGCUCACCAAGGCGUCGACGGGUAGCCGGCCUGAGAGGGUGACCGGCCACACUGGGACUGAGACACGGCCCAGACUCCUACGGGAGGCAGCAGUGGGGAAUAUUGCACAAUGGGCGGAAGCCUGAUGCAGCAACGCCGCGUGAGGGAUGACGGCCUUCGGGUUGUAAACCUCUUUUAGCAGGGAAGAAGCGAAAGUGACGGUACCUGCAGAAAAAGCGCCGGCUAACUACGUGCCAGCAGCCGCGGUAAUACGUAGGGCGCAAGCGUUAUCCGGAAUUAUUGGGCGUAAAGAGCUCGUAGGCGGUUUGUCGCGUCUGCUGUGAAAUCCCGAGGCUCAACCUCGGGCCUGCAGUGGGUACGGGCAGACUAGAGUGCGGUAGGGGAGAUUGGAAUUCCUGGUGUAGCGGUGGAAUGCGCAGAUAUCAGGAGGAACACCGAUGGCGAAGGCAGAUCUCUGGGCCGUAACUGACGCUGAGGAGCGAAAGGGUGGGGAGCAAACAGGCUUAGAUACCCUGGUAGUCCACCCCGUAAACGUUGGGAACUAGUUGUGGGGACCAUUCCACGGUUUCCGUGACGCAGCUAACGCA